AACUUAACCGAAGAAGACUUGUAGCCUGGAAUGAGUAGCUAUUGAUGUGUGUGUGCUUUCUUUGUUUUAUUUCAAUUUUGCUCGGAGUGCAAAAGUUCAAGUCCGGGGGAAUUUGAUAAGUGCAUAUUUAUGCACAAUUCUCCUACUUUUUACUUAGGCAUUUCUUUAUUUUAUUUUGUUCAUUUUUAUAUUUUAUUAUGUUUUCAUAUUUUAUUUUAUUUUUAGUUUAAUUUAAUUUUCGCACUUAUUUUUCAGCUUUAGCAGUCUG
rnacentral:lncRNA from 1 species